UGCAGUCGAACGAGUUCUGAUUAUUGAAAGGUGCUUGCAUCUUGAUUUAAUUUUGAACGAGUGGCGGACGGGUGAGUAACACGUGGGUAACCUGCCCUUAAGUGGGGGAUAACAUUUGGAAACAGAUGCUAAUACCGCAUAAAUCCAAGAACCGCAUGGUUCUUGGCUGAAAGAUGGCGUAAGCUAUCGCUUUUGGAUGGACCCGCGGCGUAUUAGCUAGUUGGUGAGGUAACGGCUCACCAAGGCAAUGAUACGUAGCCGAACUGAGAGGUUGAUCGGCCACAUUGGGACUGAGACACGGCCCAAACUCCUACGGGAGGCAGCAGUAGGGAAUCUUCCACAAUGGACGCAAGUCUGAUGGAGCAACGCCGCGUGAGUGAAGAAGGCUUUCGGGUCGUAAAACUCUGUUGUUGGAGAAGAAUGGUCGGCAGAGUAACUGUUGUCGGCGUGACGGUAUCCAACCAGAAAGCCACGGCUAACUACGUGCCAGCAGCCGCGGUAAUACGUAGGUGGCAAGCGUUAUCCGGAUUUAUUGGGCGUAAAGCGAGCGCAGGCGGUUUUUUAAGUCUGAUGUGAAAGCCCUCGGCUUAACCGAGGAAGUGCAUCGGAAACUGGGAAACUUGAGUGCAGAAGAGGACAGUGGAACUCCAUGUGUAGCGGUGAAAUGCGUAGAUAUAUGGAAGAACACCAGUGGCGAAGGCGGCUGUCUGGUCUGUAACUGACGCUGAGGCUCGAAAGCAUGGGUAGCGAACAGGAUUAGAUACCCUGGUAGUCCAUGCCGUAAACGAUGAAUGCUAGGUGUUGGAGGGUUUCCGCCCUUCAGUGCCGCAGCUAACGCAUUAAGCAUUCCGCCUGGGGAGUACGACCGCAAGGUUGAAACUCAAAGGAAUUGACGGGGGCCCGCACAAGCGGUGGAGCAUGUGGUUUAAUUCGAAGCAACGCGAAGAACCUUACCAGGUCUUGACAUCUUUUGAUCACCUGAGAGAUCAGGUUUCCCCUUCGGGGGCAAAAUGACAGGUGGUGCAUGGUUGUCGUCAGCUCGUGUCGUGAGAUGUUGGGUUAAGUCCCGCAACGAGCGCAACCCUUAUGACUAGUUGCCAGCAUUUAGUUGGGCACUCUAGUAAGACUGCCGGUGACAAACCGGAGGAAGGUGGGGAUGACGUCAAAUCAUCAUGCCCCUUAUGACCUGGGCUACACACGUGCUACAAUGGAUGGUACAACGAGUUGCGAGACCGCGAGGUCAAGCUAAUCUCUUAAAGCCAUUCUCAGUUCGGACUGUAGGCUGCAACUCGCCUACACGAAGUCGGAAUCGCUAGUAAUCGCGGAUCAGCACGCCGCGGUGAAUACGUUCCCGGGCCUUGUACACACCGCCCGUCACACCAUGAGAGUUUGUAACACCCGAAGCCGGUGGCGUAACCCU
rnacentral:rRNA from 2 species